rnacentral:misc_RNA from 1 species
CACGAAGAGGCCUCCAUCGGUCUUUCAACCUUGCCUAUCGUACCCUUUUUGUUGUUCCCUCGGCGGGGUAAAGCCCGCCGGCGGGAAGCUCGAAAAACCCUUUGCAAUCAGCAUCCAAAAACUCUGAUUACAAACCCUUAAAUCGUUA